CACAAGGUCACAGGUGAAAUAGUGCAUCUCUUGAAAUGCAGGGCAAGAAAAUCAGUAGUCAUACUGUUUUCAAAGAACUGAAGACAAUGUGUCCCAAGACUGCAGUGAUCAAAGAAGCCAGCACACACAUCCUAUGAAUAUUAUCUGGGAUAUGGCUGCAGUUCUUUGAAUGCCACUGGCCAUUCUCACUAGGUGACACCCCGCAACUCUGUAAAGAGUCACCACCCAGAAGAAGGCCCUCACCAGCUGCGCCCCCUGGACCAUGGAUUUCCCAACCUCCCAAACUGCACCAGAAACUGCCCAGACCUUUUAAUAGGGAGGAUUUGGAAGUGCCAUACAGAAGGAAGAGUCCAUGAGUGUCCACCCCAACUGUACUGCUUUGUCAGCACAUUUACUUCUCUGAGCUCCACAUCCAUCUUCCAUUUACAUGAUUCUCACUGUGAAAACCUGAUUCUAAGUCUUUACACAUUCUUGGCCUGCAAUAUCCCCUAAUACUUCACUCUUACAUUUGAAAUCUUCCUCUCCUACUCACCACCUCUUCAGCCACUUUUGGUAAAUAAUUGUCACCUGUGAAUUUUAUCUUUAACUCUUCUUGGAACUGCAUUCUUACAUAUUUUUUUCUGAGCAUGUUAGUCACUUAUCCUGCUUCCAACUGCUGCUUUUCUCAGAUUCCAGCCUUCCCAGUUGAAGCUUGGCAGUGAGUGGAUCCACAAACUACGACUUCUCACUGUUUUCACAGUAGUGGUCUGUUUCAAUUAGUUUAUCCAGUCUGCUAGCAUCGCAGUAAUCAAUUAUUCCAGAUUGUAAGAACUGUAUGUAGAGCAAUAAAAAUUAGUCAACAUGGAGCGA